UACGUAGGGUGCGAGCGUUAAUCGGAAUUACUGGGCGUAAAGUGUGCGCAGGCGGCAGAGCAAGUCGAGUGUGAAAGCCCCGGGCUUAACUUGGGAAUUGCGCUCGAAACUACUUUGCUGGAGUGUGGCAGAGGAAGGUGGAAUUCCACGUGUAGCGGUGAAAUGCGUAGAGAUGCGGAGGAACACCAAUGGCGAAGGCAGCCUUCUGGGCCAACACUGACGCUCAUGCACGAAAGCGUGGGGAGCAAACAGG
rnacentral:rRNA from 1 species